AAUUGAAAAUGAUAUGGAGAAAAUUAGCAUGGACUCUUCUCAAGGAUGACACUCCAACUUGUGAAGCAUUCCAUAUUUU
rnacentral:snRNA from 1 species